GACGUAGGUGGCAAGCGUUGUCCGGAAUUAUUGGGCGUAAAGCGCGCGCAGGCAGUCCUUUAAGUCUGAUGUGAAAGCCCACGGCUCAACCGUGGAGGGUCAUUGGAAACUGGGGGACUUGAGUGCAGAAGAGGAAAGCGGAAUUCCACGUGUAGCGGUGAAAUGCGUAGAGAUGUGGAGGAACACCAGUGGCGAAGGCGGCUUUCUGGUCUGUAACUGACGCUGAGGCGCGAAAGCGUGGGGAGCAAACAGG
rnacentral:rRNA from 1 species